rnacentral:rRNA from 1 species
UCUAUGUCGGCGACCGGCGCACGGGUGCGUAACGCGUAUGCAACCUACCCAUUACAGGGGGAUAACACUGAGAAAUCGGUACUAAUACCCCAUAACAUCCAGGGAGGCAUCUUCUUGGGUUGAAAACUCCGGUGGUAAUGGACGGGCAUGCGUUGUAUUAGUUAGUUGGUGGGGUAACGGCUCACCAAGACAACGAUACAUAGGGGGACUGAGAGGUUAACCCCCCACAUUGGUACUGAGACACGGACCAGACUCCUACGGGAGGCAGCAG